rnacentral:rRNA from 1 species
CGGCGGACGGGUGAGUAACGCGUGGGUAGCCUGCCUCAUACAGGGGGAUAACAGUUGGAAACGGCUGCUAAUACCGCAUAAGCGCACAGUACCGCAUGGUACGGUGUGAAAAACUCCGGUGGUAUGAGAUGGACCCGCGUCUGAUUAGGUAGUUGGUGGGGUAACGGCCUACCAAGCCGAUGAUCAGUAGCCGACCUGAGAGGGUGACCGGCCACAUUGGGACUGAGACACGGCCCAA